CGAAGGGUGCAAGCGUUACUCGGAAUUACUGGGCGUAAAGCGUGCGUAGGCGGUUUGUUAAGUCUGUCGUGAAAGCCCCGGGCUCAACCUGGGAAUGGCGAUGGAUACUGGCGAGCUAGAGUACGGUAGAGGAGAGUGGAAUUCCCGGUGUAGCAGUGAAAUGCGUAGAGAUCGGGAGGAACAUCAGUUGCGAAGGCGGCUCUCUGGACCAGUACUGACGCUGAGGCACGAAAGCGUGGGGAGCAAACAGGAUUAGAUACCCUGGUAGUCCACGCCCUAAACGAUGCGAACUGGACGUUGGGAGCAAUUAGGCUCUCAGUGUCGAAGCUAACGCGUCAAGUUCGCCGCCUGGGGAGUACGGUCGCAAGACUG
rnacentral:rRNA from 1 species